GGGCGUGUGGUCUAGUGGUAUGAUUCUCGCUUUGGGUGUGAGAGGUCCUGGGUUCAAUUCCCAGUAUGCCCC
rnacentral:tRNA from 1 species